rnacentral:rRNA from 1 species
UACGGGGGGAGCAAGCGUUGUCCGGAAUCAUUGGGCGUAAAGGGCGUGUAGGCGGUUUGGCAAGUCGAAUGUGAAAUCCCACGGCUCAACCGUGGAACUGCGUUCGAAACUGCCUUGCUUGAGUGCGGGAGAGGUGUGCGGAAUUCCUGGUGUAGCGGUGGAAUGCGUAGAUAUCAGGAAGAACACCGGUGGCGAAGGCGGCACACUGGCCCAGCACUGACGCUGAGGCGCGAAAGCGUGGGGAGCGAACGGGAUUAGAAACCCCAGUAGUCC